GACGAACGCUGGCGGCGUGCCUAAUACAUGCAAGUUGAGCGAUGAAGAUUGGUGCUUGCCCCAAUUUGAAGAGCAGCGAACGGGUGAGUAACGCGUGGGGAAUCUGCCUUUGAGCGGGGGACAACAUUUGGAAACGAAUGCUAAUACCGCAUAAUAACUUUAAACAUAAGUUUUAAGUUUGAAAGAUGCAAUUGCAUCACUCAAAGAUGAUCCCGCGUUGUAUUAGCUAGUUGGUGAGGUAAAGGCUCACCAAGGCGAUGAUACAUAGCCGACCUGAGAGGGUGAUCGGCCACAGUGGGACUGAGACACGGCCCAAACUCCUACGGGAGGCAGCAGUAGGGAAUCUUCGGCAAUGGACGAAAGUCUGACCGAGCAACGCCGCGUGAGUGAAGAAGGGUUUCGGAUCGUAAAACUCUGUUGGUAGAGAAGAACGUUGGUGAGAGUGGAAAGCUCAUCAAGUGACGGUAACUACCCAGAAAGGGACGGCUAACUACGUG
rnacentral:rRNA from 1 species